CAUAGCUUGCUGAUUGGUUUCAUUCUCAGGCAGCUUCUGAAGAAAUCCUGAUUACAUCAUGCUCAACCUCCCUUUUUCCUUCAAAGCCUCAGUUUCUUUUUUCUUCUAAGCAGC
rnacentral:ribozyme from 1 species